rnacentral:rRNA from 1 species
AUUGAACGCUGGCGGCAGGCCUAACACAUGCAAGUCGAGCGGCAGCGGGAAAGUAGCUUGCUACUUUUGCCGGCGAGCGGCGGACGGGUGAGUAAUGCCUGGGAAAUUGCCCAGUCGAGGGGGAUAACAGUUGGAAACGACUGCUAAUACCGCAUACGCCCUACGGGGGAAAGCAGGGGACCUUCGGGCCUUGCGCGAUUGGAUAUGCCCAGGUGGGAUUAGCUAGUUGGUGAGGUAAUGGCUCACCAAGGCGGCGAUCCCUAGCUGGUCUGAGAGGCUGAUCAGCCACACUGGAACUGAGACACGGUCCAGACUCCUACGGGAGGCAGCAGUGGGGAAUAUUGCACAAUGGGGGAAACCCUGAUGCAGCCAUGCCGCGUGUGUGAAGAAGGCCUUCGGGUUGUAAAGCACUUUCAGCGAGGAGGAAAGGUUGAUGCCUAAUACGUAUCAACUGUGACGUUACUCGCAGAAGAAGCACCGGCUAACUCCGUGCCAGCAGCCGCCGUAAUAC